rnacentral:lncRNA from 1 species
CCCGGGUGGCGGGAAGCGAGCCCAGGUUCCCGCGGCCUUGCGAGGGCACGCAGGGCAAACAGUGCUUUAUCUUUCGCAGCGGCGAUGAGCUGGUGACUUUUGGGGGUCAUCCUGAGGGACAUAGACGAAACUGGUUGGGAGGUAGUUAAUUGCUCGGUGAAAAUGAACUGAUUUCCUCCUCAGGGAGAGAUCUGCAAAGUCAAGGAAAGUUGUG